GCGGAAGUAGCUCAGCUGGUAGAGCGCAACCUUGCCAAGGUUGAGGUCGCGGGUUCGAGCCCCGUUUUCCGCUCCA
rnacentral:tRNA from 1 species